UGAACGCUGGCGGCAUGCUUUACACAUGCACGUCGAACGGUAACAGGCCUUCGGGUGCUGACGAGUGGCGCACGGGUGAGUAAUGCAUCGGAACGUACCCAGAGGUGGGGGAUAACGCAGCGAAAGCUGUGCUAAUACCGCAUGUGAUCUGAGGAUGAAAGCGGGGGACCGAGCAGCAAUGUUUGGCCUCGCGCCUUUGGAGCGGCCGAUGUCGGAUUAGCUAGUUGGUGGGGUAAAGGCCUACCAAGGCGACGAUCCGUAGCUGGUCUGAGAGGACGACCAGCCACACUGGGACUGAGACACGGCCCAGACUCCUACGGGAGGCAGCAGUGGGGAAUUUUGGACAAUGGGCGCAAGCCUGAUCCAGCAAUGCCGCGUGCGGGAAGAAGGCCUUCGGGUUGUAAACCGCUUUUGGCAGGAACGAAACGGUGUCCGCUAAUACCGGGCGCUAAUGACGGUACCUGCAGAAUAAGCACCGGCUAACUACGUG
rnacentral:rRNA from 1 species